UGGAUGAGCUUUAUUGUGCCCACCGAAAGGUGGAUUUUUGGAGGAUCAAUCAGUGGCUCUCGCAGUGUGGAAAAGGUGCGACCAGUGGGAAGUUAGCAGUGUGUCCCACCCUUGUCUGGGUUGAUAACUUAACCACAGAAGAAAGUCUCCUUUUUGUGGUCACAUUCGGUGACUUUGCAGGAAGAGAAGAGGGGAGAGAUAGGUUUGGAACUGAAGAAACCUAGUGACAAAGAGGUCACUGUUUGGACUCUCUCUCUAAGUAGCCCGUGAGGGUGUCCCAACCUCAAAUCUUCCAAAUCAGGAUUACCAUAUACAUCGAUUGUCAAGUCUCCAAAAUUGGGACCAUCAUGUACAUCAAUUGUUAUGUACCAAAGGUGAUAACGUUCUCGCUUCUCCCCCACCAAUUUCAACUGGUUGAUGUGGUACCAUCUGCUUUUAUCUGUACACUGAUGGACUUGCUUUGUCUAUAAUUUCAUAGGGCCCUUGGAUUUAAAAAUGAGAUAUGUGACGGGAUCCUGAAUUAUCUCUUAUGGACUGUACCUUUAAAAAGAGAGAGAGAGGGUGCGACUAACUUGGAGAGAGAGAACGAGCAGCUCGUGAGUCGUCAUGGUAACCGAGGGCGGCGUUAUUUGAUGGACAGCUGGUGUUCAGCAUGCUGAGAUAAAUACAAGGCAGAAGAUACAAAAGCUUGAAAACAGGUACCGCCAGGCUCAAUGACAGCUUCUAUCUUGGUGUUACAAGAUUCUUGAAUGGACUUCUUGCACAUGAGCAAUGGACUCAACAACACAAUCUACCUCAUCAUGGCUCUUGUACCUUGUCCAUCUGCAUUCCCUAACUGUAAGACUAUAUUCACAUCACUAUUGUUUUCCCCUUGUACCACCCUGAUUAUUUAGGUUUUGAAAUGAUCUGUACAGAUGGCAAAUAAAGCAAAGUUAGCUUUUCACUGUACAGAAACAGGUGAAUUGAUUAUGGGGAGCAAGGACAUGGCAGACCAAUUGAAUAAUUACUUUGGUUCUGU